rnacentral:rRNA from 1 species
AUUGAACGCUGGCGGCAUGCCUUACACAUGCAAGUCGAACGGUAACGGGCCUUCGGGUGCCGACGAGUGGCGAACGGGUGAGUAAUGCAUCGGAACGUACCUUUCAGUGGGGGAUAACGUAGCGAAAGUUACGCUAAUACCGCAUAUUCUGUGAGCAGGAAAGCAGGGGAUCGCAAGACCUUGCGCUGAUUGAGCGGCCGAUGUCAGAUUAGCUAGUUGGUGAGGUAAAGGCUCACCAAGGCGACGAUCUGUAGCGGGUCUGAGAGGAUGAUCCGCCACACUGGAACUGAGACACGGUCCAGACUCCUACGGGAGGCAGCAGUGGGGUAUUUUGGACAAUGGGGGCAACCCUGAUCCAGCCAUGCCGCGUGAGUGAAGAAGGCC